rnacentral:rRNA from 1 species
AGUGAACGCUGGCGGCGUGCUUAACACAUGCAAGUCGAACGAGAACGGAACUAGCUUGCUAGUUUGUCAGCUAAGUGGCGCACGGGUGAGUAAUAUAUAGUUAACCUGCCUCAAAGAAGGGAAUAAUUGUUGGAAACGACUUGUAAUGCCCUAUAUGCCUUUAUUACAUAAGUAAGCAAGGGAAACAUUUAUGGCUUUGAGAUGGGACUGUACGGUAUCAGUUUGUUGGUGAGGUAAUGGCUCACCAAGACUAUGACGCCUAACUGGUUUGAGAGGAUGAUCAGUCACACUGGAACUGAGACACGGUCCAG